GGGGGCUAAAAUCAAUUUGUCUCAAGAAAAAAUAAGAGUUUUGCUUAGAGCACCCACUAAAAGAGCAGAAAGAUUAAAUGAUAGAGCUAUUGGGUUAAGAUUUCUAUUUAGAAGGGAUGAUGCAAUGCAUUUUGAGAAGAUUCAUACUAGAGAUUUAUCUGUGGAGCAUAGACUUCUUCAUCACAUUACUGCAAGAAUCCUCCUCACUC
rnacentral:lncRNA from 1 species